GCGCGAAAACUUUACAAUGCUGGCAACAGCGAUAAGGGAACCUCGAGUGCCAGGUUACAAAUCUGGCUGUCGAGAUGCCUAAAAAGCAUUUCAUAGCAAGGGCCGGGCAAGACCGGUGCCAGCCGCCGCGGUAACACCGGCGGCUCGAGUGGUAACCGUUAUUAUUGGGUCUAAAGGGUCUGUAGCCGGCCGGAUAAGUCUCUUGAGAAAUCUGGCAGCUUAACUGUCAGGCUUUCAGGAGAUACUGUCUGGCUCGAGGCCGGGAGAGGUGAGAGGUACUUCAGGGGUAGGGUGAAAUCUUGUAAUCCUUGAAGGACCACCAGUGGCGAAGGCGUCUCACCAGAACGGACCUGACGGCAAGGGACGAAAGCUAGGGGCACGAACCGGAUUAGAAACCCC
rnacentral:rRNA from 1 species